CUCAAUUUAAUAGUUUUCAGAAAUAUAUGACAGAAUACUGUCAUAAUUAAUUCAUUCAGAAGGCCUGUUCUUUACAGAUUUUAUGAUCACAGCAAAACACACUUACUGCUCUCCACCACAGUCUCCAUUACUGGUCUUCCGUUUCCUCCUUUAGUCAGUUAAAUUGAGGGUUUACUGUAAGUUAUUACUGUUAGACCUUAAUCACUGUAAUAAUCAUUUCAGGUCCUUCACUGUAUGGCCUGGAAGUUGCUGGUGCUAUGGGAAACAUCAGUUUUACAUUUGCAGAGAGCUUAGUAUUCUCCUCUCUCAUCUCUGCUGUGGAUCCAGUGGCAGUUCUGGCCAUUUUUCAAGAGCUUGGGGUAAAUAAAGACCUCUACUUCCUCAUCUUUGGCGAGUCACUCCUCAAUGAUGGUGUGACGGUGGUGAUGUACAAUAC